AGAUGCAGCAGGAUGGUUAGCAUGUGUGUGUGUGUGACAGAGAGAGAGAGAGAAAAAGUGAGUGAGAAAGGGAAAGAGAGAGAGAGAGACAGACUAAUUUUAUGUUGGUUUUAAUAGUCAUUUAUUUUUACAAUUUCUCAUUACUUUUUUUGUUGUUUUGUUUUGCAAGAACUAGUUGCACUUGCCUUGUGUCAAAGACAGGAUAUUUGUUGGUUUGUAACAUGAAACUAUCAGACCUAUGUGUGCCCAGAAUGACGACGUUCCAUUGAGAAUGAAAAUUUCAGGCCUGAUGCGGUGGCUUACACCUGUAAUCCCAGCACCUUGGGAGGCCGAGGCAGGCAGAUCACCAGAGGUCGGGAGUUCGAGACCAGCCUGACCAACAUGGAGAAACCCCAUCUCUACUAAAAAUGCAAAAUUAGCUGGGUGUGGUGGCGUAGACCUGUAAUCCCAGCUGCUCAGGAGGCUGAGGCAGGACAAUCGCUUGAACCUGGGAGGCGGAGGUUAUGGUGAGCGGAGAUCAUGCCAUUGCACUCCAGCCUGGGCAACAAGAGUGAAACUCCAUCUCAAAAAAAAAAAAAAAAAAAAAAAAAGGAAAGAAAAUUUAAAUCCCUCAGAAUGGUUAUCUACAUAACACUGAACACAUGAAUACUCGGAGACAUUUGGAUGAUGGGUGUCCUUUGCAUAAAAAGCCACAUGACUGACUGUAUUUUUCCAUUUUUAUUCAGAUAUUUUUGAAAUAAUGUAGACCGCCAACAGGCUCACCUCCAAGACAGAAUACAUAAUCAUUGAGAAACGCCACCUGGAACACAGCUGUGACUUGAUAAACACGUGAAAUAUUCUUUGGUGUGGUGAGGGGAAAACAGAUUUCUCAAGGGACACGCACCAUGGUGUAUGAGAGGACACUGGAGCCCAGCCAGCAUCUGACAUGCUGAAUUCAAAGUGCAGGGAGGCAUUUGGGAUUUGUGUUCCUGGCAACUUGAGAGAGGAAUGGAGGAAGUCAAAGGGAGGAAGAGGAGCUGAUGUUGCAGUCCAAGAGGAAACAGGAGUGAGGGCAGGGAGCCCAGAAGAGGGUCAGGGUGAAGAUGGGUGUGGGGAAGGCAGAGCAAACCAGCUGCUGCUGUCAACCCGGACCUAUUUCCUCGAGCUCUGGGAGCCCUCCCAUCCCUGCUCUCAGCAACAGUGAUGCUGCCUUCGGGCGGCUGUGCAGCCAACCCACACUGAGUGAUAGCUGUCCCUGUCAUUUUCUUAAAUGUCACCAGUGAAAGAGACAUUUCCACCUCCCUGGAGUACACAUACUCCACGUGUGGAUAAGUGGACACUUGGUUCCAUUUUCACAGCUUCCAAAAAUUGGUCACAGAUGACUCACAAUUGUGUCAACUACCCUGGUAUAAGAAGCCAUAGAUGGAGGUAUACAGAAAUGAUUUUUUUUUUUUAAUGUAAUGUCCUUUCUAUGAGGCAGUAAAACAUCUUUCCUGCCAUUAGGAGAAAUGUGUUCUUUGAAUUAUUUUCACAGCCAUAAAGGCAGACCUGUGAAAGGCUAUUUGUACUGGAUAGUUCUCUGCUUUCAUGGAUUUUAUUCAGAAUUGUCCAUUCUUGGAAAUGUUGGGGAAAGAGAAAAGAAAAAGAGGACAAAUAUAUGUUGAAUUCGUUAGUGUAAAUUAUAAUUCAUAAGCUGCAGUGUCCAAGCAAUAUUACCUUCCACAUAUUCUUGAAUAGCUUGGUUCCUAUUUUUGAGCCCCUGCCUGGUGCCAGGAACUUGUUUUCAGCUAAUUCAGGGUUUCUGCCCCCAUUUUCCUUGGAGGAAUAUCUAAGUUCUUUGGGGAUAUUGCUGGUGUCAAGCAUGAAGCUGUUGGAGGACAGGGAGGCUUUGGCAUCUGGUCCUCAGCAUCACGUAAAUCCUGUCAGAACUUAGAGGUGAAAUGGGAAGGAUUGUUGAUCUCCUGCCCCACCAGCUGCUGGGAUGUCCCUUACUCCCAUUCACAAGGUCUGUUUGUGUCACUCUAGGUCAUUUUGCUCUCCUGAGCCCAUCUGGGAACCACUUUGAAGCUGUUUGAGUCCAGAGCCAUGGCCCAGGCCUCUCGUGGUAUGCGGAUUCUGCUGUGUUCCCUCAGCUGGAUCAGGGGCACUGGGCAGCGCCUUCCCCUCUCCUGGCCUAUUCUCAGGCACACCUAAGUGAUCUUAUUUCAUCUUGACCCUAACCUUGGAUAUUUGAAGUAGAAUUAUUCAUUUACAAAGGAGGAAAAUGAGAUUCAGAGAAGCUAAAUACAUGCCAAAGCCACGUAACUACAAGUGGCAGAGCUCAGUCUGCUUUCCAAACUCAUGCGGCCCCCUUCAUCACCGUGACUCACCCACUUUAUCCCCCAACUUCGAGGAAGUCUCCUCUGAUCACCCAAGAAUAAUGUCUGCCUCCUUAGAAAUUUUGUAGCCAUUGCUGUUUCAAUUUUGGGAGUGACAUCUAAUUGUCACACAAUGUUUCACACGCUAGCUAUCUGUGCUCAUAUCUAGACAAGCCUGCUUAGGUGGUGGCUCCUGGAAGGCAAAGACCACUUCUUGUGCUUGUCUCUAUCCCGUCUACUAGCACCACA
rnacentral:lncRNA from 1 species